rfam:Ictidomys tridecemlineatus contig096541, whole genome shotgun sequence.
GUGGUUGUAGCUUAGUGGUAAAGCACUUACCUGGCAUGUGUGAGGCACUGGGUUAGACCCUCAGCACCACA